rnacentral:rRNA from 1 species
CGGCGGGGGGGUACGCGUGAGAAUUUGCCCUCAGAGAGGGGGCCACACCUGGAAACGGCUUCUUAUUUCCCCUUUGCGGCCAGGUGAAAUGGAAUUCGCCCUGGGGAUGAGCUUCCGCCCUGAUUAGCCUAGUUGGUGGGGUAAUGGCUCACCCAGGCAUCGAUCAGUGGUUGUUUUGGGAGGGAUGAUCAGCCACCCCUGGGACUGAGGACCCGGCCCAGACUCCUACGGGGGGCAGCAGUGGGGAAUUUUCCGCAAUGGGGGAAAGCCUGACGGAGCAACGCCCGCGUGAGGGAUGAAGGCCUCUGGGCUGUAAACCUCUUUUAUCAAGGAAGAAGAUCUGACGGUACUUGAUGAAUAAGCCACGGCUAAUUCCGUGCCAGCAGCCGCGGUAAUACGGGAGUGGCAAGCGUUAUCCGGAAUUAUUGGGCGUAAAGCGUCCGCAGGCGGCCCUUCAAGUCUGCUGUUAAAAAGUGGAGCUUAACUCCAUCAUGGCAGUGGAAACUGUUGGGCUUGAGUGUGGUAGGGGCAGAGGAAUUCCCGGUGUAGCGGUGAAAUGCGUAGAUAUCGGGAAGAACACCAGUGGCGAAGGCGCUCUGCUGGGCCAUCACUGACGCUCAUGGACGAAAGCCAGGGGAGCGAAUGGGAUUAGAUACCCCAGUAGUC